AAGCUUGAUGAUGACGAUGUUAUCUCCUACAUCCUUGCAGGACUAGAUGUAGACUAUAAUCCGUUUGUUGCAUCAGUAUCUGCUAAAGAUUAUAUUUCCUUGAGUGAUUUCUAUGCACGGUUUCUCUCCUUUGAGG
rnacentral:snoRNA from 1 species